GCUCCCACAAUGUGGUGCACGUUCCUAAAGCCUUCCAGACUUUCUAUAAGAAGUGUGGCAAGCACCAACCCCACAAAGUGGCACAGGACAAGAAGGGCAAGGAUGCCAUGUAUACGCGGGGAAAUCCUCUAACCUAAGUAUUGUUUGUGUAUAUCAAGGCCACUGAUUUCUGUAAGCCGAUUUUCCAGAAAAAGGCUAAAACUACAAAGGAGAUGGUGCUGAGGCUUGAGCGCUGAGCCCAGCUACAGAUCUAAGACGAUGCGGGCUAUGAGGACAUGCAAGCAUUUUGAACUGGGAGGAGAUAAGAAGAGAAAGGGCCAAGUGAUUCAGUUC
rnacentral:lncRNA from 1 species